UCCCUCUCAGGAUCACACCUGGAGAGUUUCCAGUACUUUACCAGUCUCGGCUACGAGAAGGAGAGUCAAGCAGAGGCAGACCCACUCCAUUUCUAGCUUAGCCGGUGGCUACUGAGUGGAAGACAAUCUGCUACAAAG